AUUGGUAAAUGAGGAUGUUAUUAAGUAUUUGAAAUGUAACACAAACACGAAGAAAAACUUGAAAUGAAAUGCUUGAAAUUAGUAAAUUUGUUUUAUAAAUAUAAUCACAAACGGA